AACGUAGGACGCGAGCGUUAUCCGGAGUUACUGGGCGUAAAGCGCGGGCAGGCGGUCUGACAAGUCUGAUGUGAAAUCUCCGGGCUUAACCGGGAGAGGCCAUUGGAAACUGACAGGCUGGAGGGCAGUAGAGGUAGGGCGGAAUUCCGGGUGGAGUGGUGAAAUGCGUAGAGAUCCGGAGGAACACCAGAGGCGAAGGCGGCCUACUGGGCUGCACCUGACGCUGAGCCGCGAAAGCCAGGGGAGCGAACGGGA
rnacentral:rRNA from 1 species